ensembl:lncRNA
AUUUAGAAACACAACACUUUCUAAACAGAUAUUCUGAGGCUGUGAGGUUGAACGUUUGAGAGUCUAUCAGUGUGUUUGUUUGUGGUCUUUGUGUUUCUAGGUGGAAGCUGAAUUAGUGAGGAUGACUCCUGCUCCUGUCAUCUCUAAGCUCCUCACACAUCUUUACCUGCACAUGAGGAAAAUCACUCCUGUAGAAUGCAGUGGUUCAUCAGAACCUCUGGGGAUGUCCUGUGGAUUCUGUGGAUCCUGUGGGUUGCAGGGUGGGUCCUACCUAGACCAGGCUGAUCCUGGACCAUCCCACAGAUGCUCCAUCAGAUGUGGAUGUGGGGAGUGUGGAACCCAGAUGUUCAGAGGGAGAUGAUGCCACAUCUGGUCCAGCUGAUGGAAGGUCUUGAAGUUCUCUGACUGGCCUCGACUGAAGAUGGUCGUCUCACUGGAUUUAAGGUUCAGAUGCUCAGUAACAAACUCCACCAAUGAGCCAACAGGGAAGCUGUAGGUUUAUUAAAUGUUGCUAUGAAGGUUUCGCUGUUUUUCUUUGUGAAUGCAAUGUGCUCCAACUGAAACUUGAAUUAGAACUUAGAAGUAAAUCCUUCCAUCUGAAAGGAUUUAGUUGCAUUAAUAACUUCAUAACAUUUUAAUUUUUAUUCCAGUCUUGG